CCAUGCUAGAUGGGGAGGUAGCGGUGCCCUGUACCUGCAAUCCGCUAAAGCAGGAUUGAAUUCCCGAUCUAGGGCCAAUAUUGUGGGGCUUGCCCCGAGUAAGUAGCGUUGACGGUUGGGUCCAACGCAACAGAAACUUAUGAACCUCGUCAGGACCGGAAGGUAGCAGCGAUAAGUAGGCCCUUCUGUGUGCCGUUGGGGAGCCUAAUCUGAGCCGGCUGUUCGGGUUCCACCCGGAGUUUUGGUUCGAAAUUGGGUGCAUGG
rnacentral:SRP_RNA from 1 species